CUCCCGGGUUCGGGGGACCGUGUCUGUGCCCACCCAGGACGCCGAUCCAGGACACCGCCCGCAACCCCGGCAGAGUCUUCCGGAGAUUGGGACAACCCCACCGCGCCCGCUGCCCUGAGGCCGCGCAGUCGCAGCUGGAGGCUCCUGGGAGGGCGCCAAGCGGUCCCGCUCAGGGCUGCGGGCUAAGAGCUGGGCGGCUAGGCGGCGGCGCGGAAGGCGUGGACGCGGCUUUGCCACGCGGGGCUCAGGCUACGGGGCAGGGGCGCGGGCGGCUGCCUCGCCCCGGUGAACCGCUCUCCCGGGGUCGGGGAGCCGGGCGGAAGGCGUGGCACCGCCUGCAAAGCCGCGAUAAGCGCUUGGGGGCCUGAACGCCUUGGUCCUAGGGAGAAGACUGUACUGGAGCACACUGGGACCAACCCAAAACUCCCGCCUCAGGGCCUUUUCCGAAACGGACUGAACCGAUUCGCUCUGGAAUCGGCGGGCGCUGCCCGGGCUGGCGGACUCCUCUGCAGACUUGGAGAGGUUUAGAGCAGCAGCUGCUGCCUACGCCCCUGAGCCUCUGGGAUUGAACGAUAAGGUUUUCCCCCCUCGCUUUUUAAGCCACCCGGAGGGUCAUAGGUGGUGUCUGGUCCAAGAGCUUUGGAGAAAUGGGAAGGUCGCGUCCCAAGGCCAAAACAAUCAGGAGCCGAAGGGGCGGGGGAAUUGGAUGGAAGUAAUACUACGAACGCUUUAAAUAGUCUUCACACAGUUCUGAUAAGUACUUCUCUACCUCCUUCCGGGGGCCCUGGAAUCGCUGGCGAGUGUGAAAGUUCGAGAAAAUGGCCAGGAAGUCCCAACUUCUAUCCCCGGAGUCUAGUAAUUGCAUGGAGAUGUGUUUCUGGCCCUUACAUUUGUAGACAUACAUAAAUAAAUAAAUCAUAAUGUCAUUUGCUAAGUCAACUCUGGGGAUUAUUCUUACUUAAUUCUUCGCCCAAGUUAGGAAGCUUUAGCCAAGAGGCCUGGAUAACAAAAUUGAUGAUG
rnacentral:lncRNA from 1 species